GGUACCACGUAGCUCAGUUGGAAGAGCAUUGGGCUAGUAUUCCAACGGUCGUAGGUUCGAAUCCCACCGUGGCCG
rnacentral:tRNA from 1 species